CAAUAGCGUAUAUUAAAGUUGUUGCAGUUAAAAAGCUCGUAGUUGGAUUUCUGGUUGAAGCGACCGGUCGGGCGUUGAUUCGUCUGCACUGGAGUCGGUUUUGGCCAUCCUCUAGGAAAGUGCGUCUGGUAUUAAGUUAUCGGGCGUAUGAUCCUGGUCUUUUACUGUGAAAAAAUUAGAGUGUUUAAAGCAGGCCUUCGCCUCGAAUACAUUAGCAUGGAAUAAUAAGAUAGGACUUUGGUCUAUUUUGUUGGUUUGCAGACCGAAGUAAUGAUUAAUAGGGAUAGUUGGGGGUAUUUAUAUUCCGAUGUCAGAGGUGAAAUUCUUAGAUUUUCGGAAGAUAAACUUAUGCGAAAGCAUUUACCAAGGAUGUUUNCAUUA
rnacentral:rRNA from 1 species